rnacentral:ncRNA from 1 species
GAAAAGUUUUAUUUUGGCUUAGGGUUUGGCUAUGUAAUUUAUGUAUAUGUAGUUCAUAGAGUAAUUAGAAAUUAGAAAUUUCUAUUGUUUCGCAGUAUUUAAUUUUAAGCAUUAAAGUAAUUUAGACUUAGAAAUUUGCUAUAAUACGAACUAAAUUUGUGCCAGCAGUUGCGGUUAUACAAAUUGUAUGAGUUAAGCUUAUUUAAUUUAGUUAAAUGUUUAAUAUUUUAGGUGAAAGUCGGACCUUUUAAGUGAAAUUUUAAGUCCGAGUGUAAUUAAUAAAGUGUUUUUGAAGCUAGGAAGUUUCGGUGUAAACUAGGAUUAGAUACCCUAUUAUUGGAAGAUUGAAUUUUCGGUUAAAAUUACUAAUAGUUAUGAUCUUUAAAAUUAAAAAAUUUGGCGGUAUUUUAAUCUAUUCAGAGGAACCUGGUUUUUAAUUGAUAGUCCACGAUUAGUCUCACUUUAAGUAUAAAUUUGUAUAUCGUCGUAGUUUGAAUAUUCUAGGAGGAUUAAAAUGUUCAAUUGUUAUAAUGAUAAGAGAAUUCAGAUCAAGGUGCAGUUAAUAUUAAAGUUAAAAUGGGUUACAUUGUAGUUAUAGUUGGUUCUUGAAUUUGAAAAGUCUAGAUAAAUUGGAUUUGAAAGUAAUUUUAUAUAUUUAUAUAAAAUGACUAUGCUCUAAGGUAUGUACAUAUUGCCCGUCGCUUUCAUAUAAAAUGAAAUAAGUCGUAACAAAGUAGACUUAUUGGAAAAUGAGUCUGGAAUUCA